rnacentral:rRNA from 1 species
GUCUAGGGCCAUACCAUUCUAAUCCUCUGGAUUUCAUCAGAUCUCUGAAGCCAAACAGGAUCAGACGUGGUUAGUACCUGGAUGGGAUGGCAAGGAUUGGAUGCUUCUGAUA